CUGCUGCAGUGCUGGAUUGUUCCAGUCUUAAUGUCUUGCUGUGUGUGACUGGUUUGUUUCUGUGUUAGGAGUAGACUAUGACCUUGGAGAAGGAGAAAAAGGGGGAGCCAGAAUGGAGUCAGUGAAAACACAGGUGUGCUUUUACUCAGACCUAUUCUGACUGCCUAGCAUGAGGAAGAGAACAUUUUCAGUUCAUAUCAUACUGGGAUGGAGAUCAUGCUCAAUCUGAACCACAUUCCUACAACC
rnacentral:lncRNA from 14 species